rnacentral:rRNA from 1 species
UACAGAGGGGGCAAGCGUUAUUCGGAAUUAUUGGGCGUAAAGGGCGCGUAGGCGGCUUGGCAAGUGGAUGGUGAAAUCCCUCGGCUUAACCGAGGAACUGCCGUCCAAACUGCUUCGCUUGAGACCGGGAGAGGUGAGUGGAAUUCCCAGUGUAGCGGUGAAAUGCGUAGAUAUUGGGAGGAACACCAGUGGCGAAGGCGGCUCACUGGACCGGUACUGACGCUGAUGCGCGAAAGCGUGGGGAGCAACGGGG